UGGGGAAUAUUGCGCAAUGGGGGCAACCCUGACGCAGCAACGCCGCGUGCAGGAAGAAGGUCUUCGGAUUGUAAACUGUUGUCGCAAGGGAAGAAUAAAAUGACGGUACCUUGUGAGAAAGUCACGGCUAACUACGUGCCAGCAGCCGCGGUAAUACGUAGGUGACAAGCGUUGUCCGGAUUUACUGGGUGUAAAGGGCGCGUAGGCGGACUGUCAAGUCAGUCGUGAAAUACCGGGGCUUAACCCCGGGGCUGCGAUUGAAACUGACAGCCUUGAGUAUCGGAGAGGAAAGCGGAAUUCCUAGUGUAGCGGUGAAAUGCGUAGAUAUUAGGAGGAACACCAGUGGCGAAGGCGGCUUUCUGGACGACAACUGACGCUGAGGCGCGAAAGUGUGGGGAGCAAACAGG
rnacentral:rRNA from 1 species